rnacentral:rRNA from 1 species
UACGAAGGGGGGCUAGCGUUGUUCGGAAUUACUGGGCGUAAAGGGCGCGUAGGCGGCUUUUCAAGUCAGGCGUGAAAGCCCCAGGCUUAACCUGGGAACUGCGUUUGAUACUGUUAAGCUAGAGUGCGGAAGGGGCAAUCGGAAUUCUCGGUGUAGCGGUGAAAUGCGUAGAUAUCGAGAGGAACACCUGAGGUGAAGACGGGUUGCUGGGCCGACACGUGACGCUGGAGUGCGCGAAAGCCAGGGGAGCAAAC